rnacentral:misc_RNA from 1 species
CCGAUCCGACGAUCUCUUCCACGAUAAGACCAACAACCCUAAGAUAACAGCAAACGACGUCGUUAUCAUCAGAAGCACGGAGUCAGUCACAGAACUUCCGAGCGAGACGCCAAGCACCGACUCAACGAAGCUAACCAAUUCCGACCCUGAACUCAUCUCGAUCUAAAAUCCAAAUCCAAAAAAUCCAACAAUACAAAACUAAAUAAUUUAAAGUCUUGAAAUAAUCGGCUUCGGCUUUGGUUCUUCUCUCCCUUGGUGACUUUGGAGAACGAGCCCUAAAAUAUGGGGGUGGGUAAGCAGAGAGAGAGAGAUACAGGGCGCGUUGGGUGGGGAGAGAGACGGUGCAGACAAGGAGAAACGGGUGUGGUGCUUGUAGACGGGACCCACCGCGAUCUUGACCAGUUGUUUUAUUCUUAUUUUUUAAAUAAAAAAGAAGGAAAAAGCUCUUUUUGCAAUGUUCUCUCGCGCCUGCCGUGGAAGCGUCGUCGCGUUCGU